rnacentral:rRNA from 1 species
GACCAGACUCCUACGGGAGGCAGCAGUGGGGAAUAUUGCACAAUGGGGGAAACCCUGAUGCAGCGACGCCGCGUGAGCGAUGAAGUAUUUCGGUAUGUAAAGCUCUAUCAGCAGGGAAGAAGAUGACGGUACCUGACUAAGAAGCCCCGGCUAACUACGUGCCAGCAGCCGCGGUAAUACGUAGGGGGCAAGCGUUAUCCGGAUUUACUGGGUGUAAAGGGAGCGUAGACGGCGAUGCAAGCCAGAUGUGAAAGCCCGGGGCUCAACCCCGGGACUGCAUUUGGAACUGUGUGGCUGGAGUGUCGGAGAGGCAGGCGGAAUUCCUAGUGUAGCGGUGAAAUGCGUAGAUAUUAGGAGGAACACCAGUGGCGAAGGCGGCUUACUGGACUGUAACUGACGUUGAGGCUCGAAAGCGUGGGGAGCAAACAGGAUUAGAUACCCCAGUA